UUCUUGCGGCCGCAGAGGGAGCUCUUUAGGCGGCCGCAGGGGAAGCUGGCUGUUCUUGCGGCCGCAGGGGGAGCUGGCUCUUCUGUCUCUGCUCCCCCUCCCCAGUGCACUACAAUGAGACCGGGGCUGGAAUAUGACGCCAGCUCCCCUGCGGCCGCAAGAACAGCCAGCUUCCCCUGCGGCCGCCUAAAGAGCUCCCUCUGCGGCCACAGGUGAGC